rnacentral:rRNA from 1 species
GACGAAUGCUGGCGGCGUGCCUAAUACAUGCAAGUCGAACGAGAGCGCCCGGUGCUUGCACUGGUCAAUCUAGUGGCGAACGGGUGAGUAACACGUGGGUAACCUGCCCAUCAGAGGGGGAUAACAUCCGGAAACGGAUGCUAAAACCGCAUAGGUCUUCGAACCGCAUGGUUUGAAGAGGAAAAGAGGCGCAAGCUUCUGCUGAUGGAUGGACCCGCGGUGCAUUAGCUAGUUGGUGAGGUAACGGCUCACCAAGGCCGUGAUGCAUAGCCGACCUGAGAGGGUGAUCGGCCACAUUGGGACUGAGACACGGCCCAAACUCCUACGGGAGGCAGCAGUAGGGAAUCUUCCGCAAUGGACGCAAGUCUGACGGAGCAACGCCGCGUGAGUGAAGAAGGUUUUCGGAUCGUAAAACUCUGUUGUUAGAGAAGAACAAGUGCUAGAGUAACUGUUAGCGCCUUGACGGUAUCUAACCAGAAAGCCACGGCUAACUACGUG